rnacentral:lncRNA from 10 species
GGACGUUGGUGGUGGCGGCCAAAAUAGGCGUGGUGACGAUGCUAAAUGGCUGCAGGCUGAGCUGGGCUGAGCAAGAUAAGACCAGUCCGACAGGAAGACCCACGGACAACCCUGCGCCCCAGCACUGGCCUCUGACCUUGCCAGCUACCAUUCCAGCUCCACCCUUCUCCGUGUUCCUUUCCUGAAUGUGUCUUUUGUCCCUUGGAAGAGAGUCCCUAACUUAUACCCUCUGAAACUCUGCUGUUGAGACCUCCACAAACAAAUGUACACAGAGCUGCUCAUGUUGUCAGCCACUCAGAGACACUGUGACAUGGCACAUGCCACACGUAAUGCACACACACGCACACCCAUGCCCAUGCACAGGGACUUGCACUGAAAUAUUGCCAUCGCCAGACCCACAAACACAUCCUGACACACACUUCUUGUUCAACAUUCCAAGAAUCUUUACCAGAUUCUGUGCCCACCACGUAUGCUGUCAUGCUGUCUAAAAGGUCCCCCAGCGUCAUGCCGUCUCAAAGGUCCCCCAGCGUCAUGCCCAGCCACAAGACCACAGCCCCGCACACCUCCUUAUCACCUGCUCCAGCACACACACUUCCAGUGUGCUUAUAGUCACCCGGCACCACCCCCACCGUCAGCAAGCCCUGCGUGGCCUCUUACCAUGACAUAUGGAACCACCUGGACACUUCACAAGAAGUUUCACAUAGAUUGUUCCAAUCACACAACAUAACCCUUGGUCACAAAGUGUCACAUGUGCCGCCUCAGCCAGCCUCACAUGGUCACACAUUGCAGCCAUGCACUGUCAUCAGAGAGCCACAGGCAUUGUUACACACUCCACUCAGCUCUGCUGUUCAGCCACACAUAGACACACCCACAAUUUCAGGACUUUGGUGGUUUUAUUUUACAAAAGCUUUGAAGGUUCAAGCCAGG